UACAGAGGGGGCAAGCGUUGUUCGGAAUUACUGGGCGUAAAGGGCGCGUAGGCGGCCCGCUAAGUCGAACGUGAAAUCCCCGGGCUCAACCCGGGAACUGCGUCCGAUACUGGCAGGCUUGAAUCCGGGAGAGGGAUGCGGAAUUCCAGGUGUAGCGGUGAAAUGCGUAGAUAUCUGGAGGAACACCGGUGGCGAAGGCGGCAUCCUGGACCGACAUUGACGCUGAGGAGCGAAAGCUAGGGGAGCAAACGGGG
rnacentral:rRNA from 1 species